AGGGGUGUAGUUCAAUGGUAGAGCCCUUGCUUGGCGUGCAAGAGGCCCUAAGUUUCAUCCCUA
rnacentral:tRNA from 1 species